rnacentral:rRNA from 1 species
UGAGGAAUAUUGGGCAAUGGAGGCAACUCUGACCCAGCCAUGCCGCGUGAGUGAGAAGGUUUUCGAAUUGUAAAGCUCUUUCAGGUGAGAAGAUGAUGACGGUAUCACCAGAAGAAGCCCCGGCAAACUUCGUGCCAGCAGCCGCGGUAAUACGAAGGGGGCGAGCGUUGUUCGGAAUUACUGGGCGUAAAGGGUGUGUAGGCGGUUUUGUAAGAUAGUGGUGAAAUGCCAGGGCUCAACCUUGGAAUUGCCAUUAUAACUAUGGGACUAGAAUAAUGUAGAGGAUAGCGGAAUACCCAGUGUAGAGGUGAAAUUCGUAGAUAUUGGGUAGAACACCAGAGGCGAAGGCGGCUAUCUGGACAUUAAUUGACGCUGAGGCACGAAAGCAUGGGGAUCAAACA